CGCGCCCCCCAUUCAGGGGCUCGUGCAACCUGGUGUCUGCCGGGCUGGAUUCAGAGAGCAGCUGGCACUGAGCUGCUUGGGUAGCUCGCAGGCAGCAGUCGCGGCUCCGUCCGUCGCUGAGGCUCAGCUCUCAGGAGGCAGGCGCUGUGGGGAGGAGGCUCGCAGGGCGCGUUGGGAUAUUGCAUCGGCUCUCCCUAGAGGUGUCCUAGCUCCCCCGCCCCUCAGUGAAGGAAUCCGCGCUGAUGCUGAACACUGGGUUAAGUUAUCACCCAGAGAUGGUGUGAGGGACUCAGGCUGCUCAACCUGCUGCUGCUGCUGUUACUUCUUGCUUUUUAUUGCUAAACAAAUCUGGAGCUCUCUGUCACUUUGUGUGGAGUGGACAUCACCUACAAAGCCUGUUGAAUAGCGUGUUGGAAGUCCACCACCUUGGUGGUAGAGUGACUAGCCCCAAGAUUAAAGAUAAACUAUUCUGAAAACGUUGAUUUUUCUACCUGACUCAGAAUAAUGGAUAUAAAAGACCGAAGACACCGCUCUCUAACAAGAGGUCGGUGUGGAAAGGAAUGCCGCUAUACAAGUUCUUCAUUGGACAGUGAGGACUGCCGAGUACCAACUCAGAAGUCCUAUAGCUCAAGUGAGACGUUGAAGGCCUAUGAUCAUGACACCAGAAUGCACUACGGAAAUAGAGUUUCUGACCUAGUUCACAGGGAGUCAGACGAGUUUCCAAGAC